rnacentral:rRNA from 1 species
AUUGAACGCUGGCGGCAGGCUUAACACAUGCAAGCCGAGCGGAGAUGAGGUGCUUGCACCUUAUCUUAGCGGCGGACGGGUGGGUAAUGCUUAGGAAUCUGCCUAUUAGUGGGGGACAACAUUUCGAAGGGAAUGCUAAUACCGCAUACGCCCUACGGGGGAAAGCAGGGGAUCUUCGGACCUUGCGCUAAUAGAUGAGCCUAAGUCGGAUUAGCUAGUUGGUGGGGUAAAGGCCUACCAAGGCGACGAUCUGUAGCGGGUCUGAGAGGAUGAUCCGCCACACUGGGACUGAGACACGGCCCAGACUCCUACGGGAGGCAGCAGUGGGGAAUAUUGGACAAUGGGCGGAAGCCUGAUCCAGCCAUGCCGCGUGUGUGAAGAAGGCCUUUUGGUUGUAAAGCACUUUAAGCGAGGAGGAGGCUACCUGGAUUAAUACUCUAGGAUAGUGGACGUUACUCGCAGAAUAAGCACCGGCUAACUCUGUGCCAGCCGCCGCAGUAAAAC